GUGUAUCUCCAGCAGUUCACUUCUCAGUGUGUAGUGUCCCCAGUCCUAUCGGUUCCCCGUCGUCUUAUUGUGAUUACCCGGGCUGUCCGACACUAUUACCAAGUGCUUUCUGGAGGCGGAACUUCAUCCGAUAUACGUGAUUUAGUGGCGUGACAAGUAUGUACCUGAUGACGUGUUUCGCCAGUCGGCUUCAUCAGACUUCCUUGAAAGCUACCAGUCCAUAUUUAAAGUCCGCCCAAAGGGGUGGGCUUUCACAAACAUCCUUAUAUUAUUGGGCCUUGUUCAACACCAUCUUUGAAUAUAUUAGGGAGUCUCUUAUAAUAGAAUGACACUUAAAACCAUC